GUGGACCAGGGCGCCCGGUUCCUUGGCGAGCGCAGUUAGGCUCUG
rnacentral:ribozyme from 1 species